AGCCAUGCGAGUCAACGUAGCAAUACGUGGCACACGGCUCAGUAACACGUAGUCAACAUAACCAGAGGACGUGGAUAAACUCGGGAAACUGAGGCUAAACUGCGAUAGACCAAGAUACCUGGAAUGGUUUUUGAUCAAAAUCUAUAUGGCCUUUGGAUUGGACUGCGACCGAUCAGGCUGUUGGUGAGGUAAUGGCCCACCAAACCAGUAACCGGUACGGGCUCUGAGAGGAGGAGCCCGGAGAUGGGUACUGAGAAAAGGACCCAGGCCCUAUGGGGCGCAGCAGGCGCGAAACCUCUGCAAUAGGCGAAAGCCUGACAGGGUUAUUCUGAGUGACUUUCGCUAAGAAAGUCUUUUGACAUCUCUAAAAAUGGUGUAGAAUAAGGGGUGGGCAAGUCUGGUGCCAGCCGCCGCGGUA
rnacentral:rRNA from 1 species